AAUUCUUUCGAAAGCACUUGAAAACGCUCGCGCUCCAAUUUCACUCAUGCCUUAACUCGUCUUUCAGUUUCUAGAUACUCCACAGCUUAUAUGGACGUACAAUUCUACUGCACGCACGACCAUUGAGUGCAAGGUGGAUCACGUGCAAGCUAUAAGCAAUAUGAAGAUUUAUUUCCACAGGUCUUACAAGCUCAAAGGAAAUUGGUAUACUAGCCGCCUCGAAGGAAAAUUUGAUGGGACCGUGAAGGCCAAGAUGAGUGUCGGCCGCAUAGCCGCAGCAUUCAAAACUACUGAGUAUUUGGUUUAUAUGGCAACUGAUUUAAGCUGUGGAAUUAUUAGGGUCGAACCAAUUGGUGGCGCUUCAACAAAGCACUACGAGCUCAGAGUGAGAAAUUCUUCUAUCACACAACCUCGUUCUGACUGUAUUGCACAGUUCGCAUGGCGCAAACCCCGUGGACAUAUUCUUUAUUCACAGCACUGUCAAAAAAAGCAGACGCGCAAAUCGUGAAUAAAACGCAUUGACGUGUAAA